rnacentral:rRNA from 1 species
GUCUACGGCCACACCACCCUGAAUGCACCAGAUCUCGUCUGAUCUCAGAAGCUAAGCAGAGUCAGGCCUGGUUAGUACUUGGAUGGGACAUGGACUUAUUAGAGCAGCUUUCUGGCUUAGCAC